GAAUUCAACUCCUACGGGAGGCAGCAGUGGGGAAUAUUGCACAAUGGGGGAAACCCUGAUGCAGCCAUGCCGCGUGUGUGAAGAAGGCCUUCGGGUUGUAAAGCACUUUCAGUAGGGAGGAAAGGGUGUAGUUUAAUACGCUAUAUCUGUGACGUUACCUACAGAAGAAGGACCGGCUAACUCCGUGCCAGCAGCCGCGGUAAUACGGAGGGUCCGAGCGUUAAUCGGAAUUACUGGGCGUAAAGCGUGCGCAGGCGGUUUGUUAAGCGAGAUGUGAAAGCCCUGGGCUCAACCUAGGAAUAGCAUUUCGAACUGGCGAACUAGAGUCUUGUAGAGGGGGGUAGAAUUCCAGGUGUAGCGGUGAAAUGCGUAGAGAUCUGGAGGAAUACCGGUGGCGAAGGCGGCCCCCUGGACAAAGACUGACGCUCAUGCACGAAAGCGUGGGGAGCAAACAGGAUUAGAAACCCUAGUAGUCCAGGCGUU
rnacentral:rRNA from 1 species